ensembl:misc_RNA Metazoa_SRP Metazoan signal recognition particle RNA
GCUGGGCAUGGUGGAGCAUGCCUGUAGUCCCAGCUACUUAGGAGGCUGAGGCAGUAGGAUCACUUGAGCCCAGGAGUUCAAGGCUAUAGUACAUUAUGAUUGUGUCUGUGAAUAGCCACUGUACUCCAGCCUGGGUAACAUAGUGAGACCCUCUCUGUU